rnacentral:rRNA from 1 species
GGUUAAGCGACUAAGCGUACACGGUGGAUGCCCUGGCAGUCAGAGGCGAUGAAGGACGUGCUAAUCUGCGAAAAGCGUCGGUAAGGUGAUAUGAACCGUUAUAACCGGCGAUGUCCGAAUGGGGAAACCCAGUGUGUUUCGACACACUAUCAUUAACUGAAUCCAUAGGUUAAUGAGGCGAACCGGGGGAACUGAAACAUCUAAGUACCCCGAGGAAAAGAAAUCAACCGAGAUUCCCCCAGUAGCGGCGAGCGAACGGGGAGGAGCCCAGAGCCUGAAUCAGUGUGUGUGUUAGUGGAAGCGUCUGGAAAGGCGCGCGAUACAGGGUGACAGCCCCGUACACAAAAAUGCACAUGCUGUGAGCUCGAUGAGUAGGGCGGGACACGUGGUAUCCUGUCUGAAUAUGGGGGGACCAUCCUCCAAGGCUAAAUACUCCUGACUGACCGAUAGUGAACCAGUACCGUGAGGGAAAGGCGAAAAGAACCCCGGCGAGGGGAGUGAAAAAGAACCUGAAACCGUGUACGUACAAGCAGUGGGAGCCCUGAUUUAUCAGGGUGACUGCGUACCUUUUGUAUAAUGGGUCAGCGACUUAUAUUCUGUAGCAAGGUUAACCGAAUAGGGGAGCCGGAGGGAAACCGAGUCUUAACUGGGCGUUAAGUUGCAGGGUAUAGACCCGAAACCCGGUGAUCUAGCCAUGGGCAGGUUGAAGGUUGGGUAACACUAACUGGAGGACCGAACCGACUAAUGUUGAAAAAUUAGCGGAUGACUUGUGGCUGGGGGUGAAAGGCCAAUCAAACCGGGAGAUAGCUGGUUCUCCCCGAAAGCUAUUUAGGUAGCGCCUCGUGAAUUCAUCUCCGGGGGUAGAGCACUGUUUCGGCAAGGGGGUCAUCCCGACUUACCAACCCGAUGCAAACUGCGAAUACCGGAGAAUGUUAUCACGGGAGACACACGGCGGGUGCUAACGUCCGUCGUGAAGAGGGAAACAACCCAGACCGCCAGCUAAGGUCCCAAAGUCAUGGUUAAGUGGGAAACGAUGUGGGAAGGCCCAGACAGCCAGGAUGUUGGCUUAGAAGCAGCCAUCAUUUAAAGAAAGCGUAAUAGCUCACUGGUCGAGUCGGCCUGCGCGGAAGAUGUAACGGGGCUAAACCAUGCACCGAAGCUGCGGCAGCGACACUGUGUGUUGUUGGGUAGGGGAGCGUUCUGUAAGCCUGCGAAGGUGUGCUGUGAGGUAUGCUGGAGGUAUCAGAAGUGCGAAUGCUGACAUAAGUAACGAUAAAGCGGGUGAAAAGCCCGCUCGCCGGAAGACCAAGGGUUCCUGUCCAACGUUAAUCGGGGCAGGGUGAGUCGACCCCUAAGGCGAGGCCGAAAGGCGUAGUCGAUGGGAAACAGGUUAAUAUUCCUGUACUUGGUGUUACUGCGAAGGGGGGACGGAGAAGGCUAUGUUGGCCGGGCGACGGUUGUCCCGGUUUAAGCGUGUAGGCUGGUUUUCCAGGCAAAUCCGGAAAAUCAAGGCUGAGGCGUGAUGACGAGGCACUACGGUGCUGAAGCGACAAAUGCCCUGCUUCCAGGAAAAGCCUCUAAGCAUCAGGUAACAUCAAAUCGUACCCCAAACCGACACAGGUGGUCAGGUAGAGAAUACCAAGGCGCUUGAGAGAACUCGGGUGAAGGAACUAGGCAAAAUGGUGCCGUAACUUCGGGAGAAGGCACGCUGAUAUGUAGGUGAAGCGACUUGCUCGUGGAGCUGAAAUCAGUCGAAGAUACCAGCUGGCUGCAACUGUUUAUUAAAAACACAGCACUGUGCAAACACGAAAGUGGACGUAUACGGUGUGACGCCUGCCCGGUGCCGGAAGGUUAAUUGAUGGGGUCAGCGCAAGCGAAGCUCUUGAUCGAAGCCCCGGUAAACGGCGGCCGUAACUAUAACGGUCCUAAGGUAGCGAAAUUCCUUGUCGGGUAAGUUCCGACCUGCACGAAUGGCGUAAUGAUGGCCAGGCUGUCUCCACCCGAGACUCAGUGAAAUUGAACUCGCUGUGAAGAUGCAGUGUACCCGCGGCAAGACGGAAAGACCCCGUGAACCUUUACUAUAGCUUGACACUGAACACUGGUCCUUGAUGUGUAGGAUAGGUGGGAGGCUUUGAAGUGUGGACGCCAGUCUGCAUGGAGCCGUCCUUGAAAUACCACCCUUUAAUGGCUGGUGUUCUAACGUUGGCCCCUUAUCGGGGUUGCGGACAGUGUCUGGUGGGUAGUUUGACUGGGGCGGUCUCCUCCUAAAGAGUAACGGAGGAGCACGAAGGUUGGCUAAUCCUGGUCGGACAUCAGGAGGUUAGUGCAAUGGCAUAAGCCAGCUUGACUGCGAGCGUGACGGCGCGAGCAGGUGCGAAAGCAGGUCAUAGUGAUCCGGUGGUUCUGAAUGGAAGGGCCAUCGCUCAACGGAUAAAAGGUACUCCGGGGAUAACAGGCUGAUACCGCCCAAGAGUUCAUAUCGACGGCGGUGUUUGGCACCUCGAUGUCGGCUCAUCACAUCCUGGGGCUGAAGUAGGUCCCAAGGGUAUGGCUGUUCGCCAUUUAAAGUGGUACGCGAGCUGGGUUUAGAACGUCGUGAGACAGUUCGGUCCCUAUCUGCCGUGGGCGCUGGAGAACUGAGGGGGGCUGCUCCUAGUACGAGAGGACCGGAGUGGACGCAUCACUGGUGUUCGGGUUGUCAUGCCAAUGGCACUGCCCGGUAGCUAAAUGCGGAAGAGAUAAGUGCUGAAAGCAUCUAAGCACGAAACUUGCCCCGAGAUGAGUUCUCCCUGAGACUUAGAGUCUCCUGAAGGAACGUUGAAGACGACGACGUUGAUAGGCCGGGUGUGUAAGCGCAGCGAUGCGUUGAGCUAACCGGUACUAAUGAACCGUGAGGCUUAACCUU